GUCUUACGCAUUGCCUUAAUUUCUCAAACUUGAUCUCCCUUGAUUUGUCACCAAAAAUAAAUGGCAUUUUUAUGGCAUGUAAAGAAAGAAGAUUCCUUCUACUGCAAGCAUCUAAUAUGCCAAAAAUUCAUAUAGUGAAUUUAUUCACCGCAUGAGAAGAUGGAGUGCCAAAGGUUGGCUCCCCUUUAUCCAAUAUGACGUCCCUUGGUCCCCCAUUUAUAUGAGACACCCC
rnacentral:lncRNA from 1 species